rnacentral:rRNA from 1 species
AUACGGAGGAUCCGAGCGUUAUCCGGAUUUAUUGGGUUUAAAGGGUGCGUAGGCGGAAUAAUAAGUCAGUUGUGAAAGUUUGCGGCUCAACCGUAAAAUUGCAGUUGAUACUGUUAUUCUUGAGUGUACAUAAGGUAGGCGGAAUUCGUGGUGUAGCGGUGAAAUGCUUAGAUAUCACGAAGAACUCCAAUUGCGAAGGCAGCUUACCGGGGUACAACUGACGCUGAGGCACGAAAGUGUGGGUAUCAAACAGGAUGAGAUACCCUGGUAGUCCACACAGUAAACGAUGAAUACUCGCUGUGUGCGAUAUACCGCAAGCGGCCAAGCGAAAGCAUUAAGUAUUCCGCCUGGGGAGUACGCCGGCAACGGUGAA